rnacentral:rRNA from 1 species
GACGAACGCUGGCGGCGUGCUUAACACAUGCAAGUCGAACGGAAAGGCCCUGCUUUUGUGGGGUGCCCGAGUGGCAAUCGGGUGAGUAAGACGUGAGUAACCUGCCCUUGACUUUGGGAUAACUUCACGAAAGUGGGGCUAAUACCGGAUAGGAGCCCCUCCUGCAUGGAGGGGGUUGGAACGUUUCGGCGGUUGGGGAUGGACUCGCGGCUUAUCAGCUUGUUGGUGGGGUAGUGGCUUACCAAGGCUUUGACGGGUAGCCGGCCUGGGAGGGUGACCGGCCACAUUAGGACUGAGAUACGGCCCAGACUCCUACGGGAGGCAGGAGUGGGGAAUAUUACACAAUGGGCGGAAGCCUGAUGCAGCAACGCCGCGUGCGGGAUGACGGCCUUCGGGUUGUAAACCGCAUUCGCCUGUGACGAAGCGUGAGUGACGGUAAUGGGUAAAGAAGCACCGGCUAACUACGUG